rnacentral:rRNA from 1 species
AGCGAACGCUGGCGGCGUGCUUAACACAUGCAAGUCGAGUGCGCGGUUCGUAGCAAUACGAACUGGCGCACGGCGCACGGGUGAGGAACACGUGGGCAACAUGCCCUCCGAUGGGGAAUAACCCGCCGAAAGGCGGGCUAAUACCGCAUACGAUUCCGGGGACCUCGGUUCCUGGACUGAAAGCCCGCAAGGGCGUCGGUGGAGUGGCCCGCGGCCGAUUAGCUUGUUGGCGGGGAACGCCCACCAAGGCAAUGAUACGGUAGCCGGUCUGAGAGGAUGAUCGGCCACACUGGAACUGAGACACGGUCCAGACUCCUACGGGAGCAGCAGUGGGGAAUCUUGCGCAAUGGGCGAAAGCCUGACGCAGCGACGCCGCGUGGGGA